AUUGAACGCUGGCGGCAUGCCUUACACAUGCAAGUCGAACGGUAACAGGUUAAGCUGCCGAGUGGCGAACGGGUGAGUCAUGUAUCGGAACGUGCCCAGUCGUGGGGGAUAACUGCUCGAAAGAGCAGCUAAUACCGCAUACGACCUGAGGGUGAAAGCGGGGGAUCGCAAGACCUCGCGCGAUUGGAGCGGCCGAUAUCAGAUUAGGUAGUUGGUGAGGUAAAGGCUCACCAAGCCGACGAUCUGUAGCUGGUCUGAGAGGACGACCAGCCACACUGGGACUGAGACACGGCCCAGACUCCUACGGGAGGCAGCAGUGGGGAAUUUUGGACAAAGGGCGCAAGCCUGAUCCAGCCAUGCCGCGUGCGGGAAGAAGGCCUUCGGGUUGUAAACCGCUUUUGUCAGGGAAGAAAAGGUUCUGGCUAAUACCUGGGACUCAUGACGGUACCUGAAGAAUAAGCACCGGCUAACUACGUG
rnacentral:rRNA from 1 species